rnacentral:rRNA from 1 species
CCUACGGGUUGCACCAGUGGGGAAUAUUGCACAAUGGGCGCAAGCCUGAUGCAGCCAUGCCGCGUGUGUGAAGAAGGCCUUCGGGUUGUAAAGCACUUUCAGCGGGGAGGAAGGCAUUAAGGUUAAUAACCUUAGCGAUUGACGUUACCCGCAGAAGAAGCACCGGCUAACUCCGUGCCAGCAGCCGCGGUAAUACGGAGGGUGCAAGCGUUAAUCGGAAUUACUGGGCGUAAAGCGCACGCAGGCGGUCUGUCAAGUCGGAUGUGAAAUCCCCGGGCUCAACCUGGGAACUGCAUUCGAAACUGGCAGGCUAGAGUCUUGUAGAGGGGGGUAGAAUUCCAGGUGUAGCGGUGAAAUGCGUAGGGAUCUGGAGGAAUACCGGUGGCGAAGGCGGCCCCCUGGACAAAGACUGACGCUCAGGUGCGAAAGCGUGGGGAGCAAACAGGAUUAGAUACCCCAGUAGUC